GUGUCAGCCGCCGCGGUAAUACAGGGGGGGCAAGCGUUGUUCGGAAUUACUGGGCGUAAAGGGUUCGUAGGUGGCCAACUAAGUCAUACGUGAAAUCCCUCAGCUUAACUGGGGAACUGCGUCUGAUACUGGUUGGCUUGAGUGCAGGAGAGGAACGCGGAAUUCCAGGUGUAGCGGUGAAAUGCGUAGAUAUCUGGAGGAACACCGGUGGCGAAGGCGGCGUUCUGGACUGCAACUGACACUGAGGAACGAAAGCCAGGGGAGCAAACGGGAUUAGAUACCCGGGUAGUCC
rnacentral:rRNA from 1 species